GAUGAACGCUGGCGGUAUGCUUAACACAUGCAAGUCGAACGGACUCUUCGGAGUUAGUGGCGGACGGGUGAGUAACGCGUGGGAAUCUGGCUUUGGGUUCGGGCCAACCACUGGAAACGGUGGCUAAUACCGGAUGUGCCGAGAGGUAAAAGAGAAAUUUCCUGCAGAUGAGCUCGCGUCUGAUUAGCUAGUUGGUGAGGUAAAGGCUCACCAAGGCAGCGAUCAGUAGCUGGUCUGAGAGGAUGACCAGCCACACUGGGAAUGAGACGCGGCCCAGACUCCUACGGGAGGCAGCAGUGGGGAAUUUUCCGCAAUGGCCGAAAGCCUGACGGAGCAAUACCGCGUGAGGGAAGAAGGCUCUUGGGUUGUAAACCUCUUUUCUUAGGGAAGAACAAAAUGACGGUACCUAAGGAAUCAGCAUCGGCUAACUCCGUG
rnacentral:rRNA from 1 species